AAGUUAUUUCGGUUAGUUAAAGAAAGGGAAAGGAAGGCGCGUGAUCUUGACCAAGUUAGGUGCAUCAAGGGCGAGGAUGGUAGAGUUUUGAUGGGGGAGUCUCAAGUCAAGCNNNNNNNNNNAGGGAGCACAAGCGAGGAAGAACGGAGAGCGAACAGGGAGAUCUACAAGGCGGCGAGGAAAGAAGCAAAGAUGGCGGUUACGGAAGCCAAAAACACGGCGUUUGAUCGCAUGUACGAG
rnacentral:lncRNA from 1 species